UCCUGUGUGGCCCUGGUCCCGACGCGGUGACCCACCUCUGGACUUGGCCUUUUUCUCUCUUUGCUUUAAGGCACAGUUUCUCAACCUAGGCACUACUGACAUUUUGGGCCGGAUAAUUCUGUUUAUACGGGGCUGUCCUGUGCACUGUAGGAUCUUUAUCUGCAUCCCCGGCUUCUACCCACUCAUGCCAGUGUCAUUCUCCCAGUUGUGACAAGGAGAGAUGUCUCCAGACUGCCAAAUAUCCCCCCCCGCCCCGGGGAAAAUCGUCGGGGUUAGAAGCGCUGUUUAGGAGAUAAUCUAGGUUUCUGGGGAGCGAGCCUUUUCAAAAGCCGGAAACAACGAUGUCUUAGCUACGGUAACGACUUGUGGACAGGUUCGCCCCUUCUUCCAGAAGCUCUCGGUCCCUUUCCAGCGUCUCGAGUUAGUCGUCAUCCAGGAAUCGGGCCGGCCCGGGAGAAGGAGCAGGUCAAGGUCUCAUUCCUGAAGGCGCCACCUGAGAAAGUCCAGGCGCCACUCGCGGUCUUACUCGCGGAGCCGGUCGAGUCCCUGCAGCAGGUGCCUUCUACGCGAUCUCGCCAGGGGACAGUACUACGGCUCUGACCCUAUGGUGUACCCGAAAGAACACAGCAGUUGGAGGAAGAGGUCCAGGAAGAGGUCGCUGAGCAGAAGCUCAUUUCGCUUAAGUGGAAAAAGAUAAAAUGGAGCUAUUAGAAAUAGCAAAAGCCAGCACAGCCACAUCCUUAGGAACAGCCAACCUUGACUUGCCCGUGGGUCUCAGAAUGGUUCCUGUAGUUAAAGAAAGAAACUGUGGAACAGCUGUACCAAAUAUUGCAAAGUUUGAGAGUUCAGAUAAUGAAAAUGAGAGUACAAAACCAAUGCCAGCAUGACCCAGACAAUACUGGAAAAGAAGACUAAAUGGCUAUGUUACUUUAAUGCCAGAUGGAAGGACACAUGUGGCUGGACUACGGAGGUAAAUAAUCCAAACGGAGCGUACUGCACAAUAUGUAGAAAAGAAUUCGGGGUUGGGCAUGGUGGAGAAGGGGAUGUGCAAGCACAUAUGGAGACUGAAUUCCACAAGUCCGGGAUGAGACAAGCAAGUACUUUGGAAUCAAUUCAAAGUGUCUUUGUUGCCUCAAAAGACACCAAUGCUCAAUUGAAAAUAUCAGCCACUAAAUCAGCUUGGCAUACCACACAAAUGAACACGCGCUAGCAUAUCGCUCACUGGACUGCUCUGUGAGACCCAGUGAAGUUAUGUUUCCUGAUUCAGUGAUUGCAACUAAAAUGUCCUAUGGGCGAACAGAAAGGGACAUUUUUUUUUUUAUUGAGUUAAUGAUAGGUUACAAUCUUGUGAAAUUUCAGUUGUACAUUAAUGUUUGUCAUUCAUGCAAAAGGGGAAAUUUUGAUUACAGAUGUCUUGGCCCCUUACAGUGUGGAGUUGAUUCUGUCAGAUCUUACCAGCAGUCACGCUUUCUACGGUAUAUCAAGCCAUGUGAUGAAUCAUGGCAAUAAAAAAGUGUUCCCCCAGCUCUUAGGUACUUUGAUUUGGAAAAUGGGGUUUCAAAUCGUUGUCUUGAUUUCCGUGAAGAUUUUAACAAAACCUCAGAAACUAGACUCCAAACACAAGCUAGACUUUACUCGGCCAUCGGCAUUUCAGCAGAUAGCGCAGAUGUAAAUUUCAGCAAAUUCCAUUCAGCCUAUAAACUUCUUACCAAAGAAAAUGAAACGAUCUCACCUGCUAAACGUCCUGCACACCUUGUACCCAAGACUGCUAAAAAGGGGUGUGAUACGCUUUCCUGUGACACUGAGGCUUUCAUAAUGAAAGUUUUUGGUUACUUUUCAAUUUCCUCAAAACAUGCAGAAGAACUUAAUGAGAUUCUUGACUUUGUAGAAAUGGAAGGAGAUGGCCUCCUUAGACAUAUGCCUACAAGAUGACUGUCAUUGUUGCCAGCCAUAGAAACGAGGUUAAAAUGUUGGUCUACCAUACAAUCCUGUUUUCAAAGUGUGGGAAAAGAAGAAUGUCCUUCUCUUAUUUGGGAAUACAUUGAGGAUGAGAAUGGAGAAAAGGAUUACAGUACAACAGAAAUUUAUAUGCUGUUUCUCCAGAGCUGCUUGAUGAUCUUUGAAGAGGCCAUAAAGAGUCUAGAAAAGGACAAACUGUCGGCACCUGAGUUAUUUGACAUUAUGUGUAAGUUGCGACAAAAACUCAUACAGCGAAAAAAAUGACACAUUUUUUGGAAAGAAGACUGCUUUAGAACUGAAAAAAAUGUCACCAGAAAAGAGCAGUCAAAUUAAACAGGACUUUCUCAAUUUCUUUACUAAAACUAUGCCUUUUUUGGAGUCCAAUUUUGAUUUCACAAAUUCUAAUUACCUCUGUGCUUUAAAACCAUUUUCUCUGAGAAAGAGAGGUUUAACUUACAGUGACAUCCGGUGUGAUUCGGAAUGUUCAGAGAUGAUGGACCUUUUAGACAUGGAAACCUCUCUGAUGAAUUUAUAGAUGCGCAGGACUUGAUGGACAAACAGCUGGUCUACCCGAACAAGCCUGGAGAUGAAAAAUGGAUGGACGUUUCUGGAGAGCUGGAAACAGAUUCCUACAAGUCUAAAAACUUGCUGCUGCUCAUAAGUAAAAUUCUAAGUAUUCCAUGCUCACAU